rnacentral:rRNA from 1 species
AUGGCGUCCCCGCGUGCCCCCGACUGGCCCCGUGGCCUCAUCUUUGCCCCCGGCGACGCCGAUUUUAUAACAAUCCACCUCCAGCGCAAGAUCUCCGGGUCCUCGCUCCCCGCCGCCGACGCCCGGUACAUCCACAACGCGGACGUGUACGCGGCCGAGCCCGCCGCGCUCGUCACCGGCCUCCUCUCCGCCUCGGCGAGGAGCGACGGCGAGGGCAGGGAGUGGUACUUCUUCACCUCCGUGCGGGCCCAGAGCAGCCGGGACACCCGCAGGUGCCGCGCCGUCGCGGGUGGAGUCGGCAUCUGGCAUUCGGAGAAGGCGCGGUGCGUCGUGCUCGACGGGGGCGGCGCCGUCGUCGGGUACCGCCAAUCCUUCACCUACGAGCCCAAGAACGGCUGGCUGAUGCUCGAGUUCAGCCAACAAGAACCCCGCCGCGGCGAGGCCAUGCCCGUCCUCUGCAAAAUCUACCAGAAGCGUCGUGCCGGCCGGUCCGCCUCGAAGACGAUUUCGUCUGGGUCGUCGUCGAUGUCGGGAUCCAAGAGGAAGGCGGCGGCCGCGGACGAGCGCCCCGUCGAGGGUUCCUCGGCCCGCGUGAGGCGAUGCCUGCAGUUCCGUCCGCCUCCUGCCGCACCAAAUCCGCCCGCACUGUUUGCUACAUCGGGGAUUCAAGAAGCGUUCUUGCUUUCAGUCGAGCGGCCGCAGGCAGAGCAAGAACCAGAGGAGCCGCAAGAACCGCCGGUACGCAUAGCACACACAGCCACACCGCUGAUUCCCAGCUUCUCCAUGGCGCCGACCACGCCCUGA